rnacentral:rRNA from 1 species
CUACGGGUCGCUGCAGUAGGGAAUCUUCCACAAUGGGCGAAAGCCUGAUGGAGCAACGCCGCGUGAGUGAAGAAGGUUUUCGGAUCGUAAAACUCUGUUGUAAGGGAAGAACAAGUACAGUAGUAACUGGCUGUACCUUGACGGUACCUUAUUAGAAAGCCACGGCUAACUACGUGCCAGCAGCCGCGGUAAUACGUAGGUGGCAAGCGUUGUCCGGAAUUAUUGGGCGUAAAGCGCGCGCAGGCGGUCCUUUAAGUCUGAUGUGAAAGCCCACGGCUCAACCGUGGAGGGUCAUUGGAAACUGGGGGACUUGAGUGCAGAAGAGGAGAGUGGAAUUCCAAGUGUAGCGGUGAAAUGCGUAGAGAUUUGGAGGAACACCAGUGGCGAAGGCGACUUUCUGGUCUGUAACUGACGCUGAGGCGCGAAAGCGUGGGGAGCAAACAGGAUUAGAUACCCGUGUAGUC